rnacentral:tRNA from 1 species
GGCCGGUUGGCAGAAUGGUCAUGCAGAGGAUUGCAAAUCCUUGUAUAUCGGUUCGAUUCCGGUACCGGCCUCCA